CGCUUGAUAAGCGUGAGGUCGGAAGUUCAAGUCUUCCCAGGCCCACCACACUCAUCGAGUGAGCAUUCGUCUUCUGGUUACGGGGCCAUAGCUCAGCUGGGAGAGCGCGUGCUUUGCAAGCAUGAGGUCGUCGGUUCGAUCCCGUCUGGCUCCACCAGAUGGUUUGAUCACCGAGAUCGUGCACCGUCGUCCGCGAAACAUCACUUCGCAUCCUGCUAGUCUGGAUAGACAGCAAGAUGCGUGUUUUCUGACAUCGUAAAGAGGAGAUCGAUCCGAGUUGGGUCGUGUAGCAGAUUGCUGCGCGGAUCCUUCAUUAUCUCCGGAUCAUUUUCGGCGCUCAAUGCUGACCGCAAGGUUGGCUGCGAGUUGUAAAAUGAUCCUUUUAGCGAAGCUUGACCGCCUCGCUAUCGGAACGAUCUUACGAAGCAAGCUGGUCUUUCUAGUCAAUGUCCGGCUGCGACAAUCGCAUCUUCGAGGGUGCGUGCCUUCAAUGGCAGUUGCGCAGACAACAUUCUGCCGAGUGUGUGGACAUUGAUAAUGAGAGCAAUCAAGUGCCUUAAGGGUGUUCGGUGGAUGCCUUGGCGCUGAGAGGCGAUGAAGGACGUGCUACGCUGCGAUAAGCCGUGGGGAGCUGCGAAGAAGCUU
rnacentral:misc_RNA from 1 species